rnacentral:tRNA from 1 species
GCCGACAUAGCUCAGUUGGUAGAGCAACUGAUUUGUAAUCAGUGGGUCGGGAGUUCAAGUCUCUCUGUCGGCA